rnacentral:lncRNA from 1 species
AACCCUGCUCUACACAGGCAAAGGGCUGUCAGCACAAUAUUUUCACUCCUCGCCGAAAACCUAUCAUUUCCAGCCUUGGAGGGUACACAGUGCCCUUUUGCUAAGAGGAAUCGUCUCCUGAAAAUAAGAAGAGACAUAUUUCAAAGCUAGGACACCACAGACCAGACCACAUGACACUCAGGACCAAAUGUUCAGAAAACAGAGUCACCAUUUUGUACUUGAGCAGUUGUUUUUCUCUUGGGCUGAGUGUGGAAUACUGAAAGCAGGUGUCCAUGCUUUCAUAUGCACUUCCCACACUGCAAUUCUGUUUGCUGGUGGCAUUAGCUUGUUGGGUUAUUUCUGUUAACCGAGGGAACUCUUUACAUUGACUUGACCUAACUAGGAUGUUCUGCUCAAAUAACCUUGUUCUAACUUAGAGCUGCCCCCAGGACUUAAAAUCCCAAUCCUGUGGCAUAGCCUUCUUAGGGGAAGAUAGAAGUGAAGAGGGUAUCAUCAGAGCCAUUUCACGCCUUCCUCUGCCAAUAUUCUAAGAGAUAGAUUUUAUUUUAUUUAUUAUUAGUUUUUUUUUUUUUUGAGAGUCUCCCUUUGCCACCCAGGCUGGAGUGCAGUGGUGCCAUCUCAGCUCACUGCAACCUCCACCUCCUGGGUUCAAGCGAUUUUCCUGCCUCAGCUUCCUGAGUAACCGGGACUACAGGCACCCACCACUAUACCCACCUAAUUUUUGUAUUUUUAGUAGAGACGGGUUUCGCCAUGUUGGCCAGGCUGGUCUAGAAUCCCUGACCUCAGGUGGUCCAUCCAACUGGCCUCCAAAAGUGUUGGGAUUACAGGUGUGAGCCACUGCUGCACAGAUAGAUUUUAGCUGGAGCACUCCUUGAGACAGUGAGCUGUUAAAUUGUUGUAGUUCCCUUAAGCUGUUUUUGAGUGAUUCUCUAAGAAACCAGGAGAAUUGACGGAAAAUAUGAAAAUCUUUCUUCAUCUUCCAUCACACACACAUAUUCUCUACCUUUGACUCUGAACUUUUAAAAAAAAGCCUUCAUGCAGCCAACUCUGUAUUUUUUUAAAAUAAAUUUUUAAAUAAAAGAAGACUAAUUUUUGUUGCUCAGAUUGUGUGAGGGUUCUCUGGGUGUUCUGAAGUAGGUCAGUAAACACCUGUCACAGUGUUAUGUGGUGUUGUUAAAAUAUGUCCACAAAUUCUUUGACAUGCCUUCCUUCAAAAAGUAGAACGUAAUUCCUUCCUUCUUGAGUGUGGCUGGAUUUACUGACUCAUUGCAAAUGAAGAGAAUGUGGCAGAAAUGUGAGAUUAAGUCAUAAAAAUGAUAACUCCUGCCUGGUCACUCUCGUGUAGCUUGUUUUGGUG